GGCGAACGGGUGAGUAACACGUGAGAAAUCUGCCCCUGACUCUGGGAUAACUGCGGGAAACUGUAGCUAAUACCGGAUACUUUCCCUGGUGGGCAUCCACUGGGGAAGAAAGAAUUUCGGUCAGGGAGGAUCUCGCGGCCUAUCAGCUAGUUGGUGAGGUAACGGCUCACCAAGGCGACGACGGGUAACCGGCCUGAGAGGGUGACCGGUCACACUGGGACUGAGACACGGCCCAGACUCCUACGGGAGGCAGCAGUGGGGAAUAUUGCACAAUGGGCGCAAGCCUGAUGCAGCAACGCCGCGUGAGGGAUGAAGGCCUUCGGGUUGUAAACCUCUUUUAGCAGGGAAGAAGCGAAAGUGACGGUACCUGCAGAAAAAGCACCGGCUAACUACGUGCCAGCAGCCGCGGUAAUACGUAGGGUGCAAGCGUUGUCCGGAAUUAUUGGGCGUAAAGAGCUCGUAGGCGGUUUGUCACGUCUGCUGUGAAAAUCCAAGGCUCAACCUUGGACUUGCAGUGGGUACGGGCAGGCUAGAGUGCGGUAGGGGAGAUGGGAAUUCCUGGUGUAGCGGUGGAAUGCGCAGAUAUCAGGAGGAACACCAAUGGCGAAGGCACAUCUCUGGGCCGUAACUGACGCUGAGGAGCGAAAGCGUGGGGAGCGAACAGGAUUAGAUACCCUGGUAGUCCACGCCGU
rnacentral:rRNA from 1 species